rnacentral:rRNA from 1 species
UACAGAGGUGGCAAGCGUUGUUCGGAAUUACUGGGCGUAAAGGGCGCGUAGGCGGUUCGUUAAGUCCUGUGUGAAAUCCCCCGGCUCAACUGGGGAACUGCACAGGAAACUAGCGGGCUUGAGUUCGGGAGAGGGAAGCGGAAUUCCGGGUGUAGCGGUGAAAUGCGGUAGAUAUCCGGAGGAACACCGGUGGCGAAGGCGGCU